UACGUAGGGGGCUAGCGUUAUCCGGAUUUACUGGGCGUAAAGGGUGCGUAGGCGGUCUUUCAAGUCAGGAGUGAAAGGCUACGGCUCAACCGUAGUAAGCCUUUGAAACUGGGAAACUUGAGUGCAGGAGAGGAGAGUGGAAUUCCUAGUGUAGCGGUGAAAUGCGUAGAUAUUAGGAGGAACACCAGUUGCGAAGGCGGCUCUCUGGACUGUAACUGACACUGAGGCACGAAAGCGUGGGGAGCAAACAGGAUUAGAUACCCGGGUAGUCCCUGAGCGGG
rnacentral:rRNA from 1 species